GAUUUUCUGGAAAUAAUCGAAGACAACUAAUUCUAACCCAGAGCCGAUCGACACACAUCAACUGCAGGUUUUAUCCGUCAACCAAAUAUCGUGGCUGAGUGUGCAGCCAUUGUGUGCAGCUACGAUGGCCACAUCGCAACUGUAGUCUGCAGCAUUCACGGAAAUGUGGGUGUACCUCGAAGUGGUCUCAGAGUUUUUCUCAAAACAACGUUUUUUGAGGUUUGUGUACCUUUUUUUCUUGAGAACUAAAGAGCAUAAGCAAACAAAAAUUCUCACAAGUGUUAA
rnacentral:lncRNA from 1 species